rnacentral:rRNA from 1 species
AGCGAACGCUGGCGGCAGGCCUAACACAUGCAAGUCGAACGAGACCUUCGGGUCUAGUGGCGGACGGGUGAGUAACACGUGGGAACGUGCCUUUAGGUUCGGAAUAACUCAGGGAAACUUGUGCUAAUACCGAAUGUGCCCUUCGGGGGAAAGAUUUAUCGCCUUUAGAGCGGCCCGCGUCUGAUUAGCUAGUUGGUGAGGUAAUGGCGCACCAAGGCCACGAUCAGUAGCUGGUCUGAGAGGAUGGCCAGCCACAUUGGGACUGAUACACAGCCCAAACUCCUGCGGAAGGCAGCAGUGGGGAAUCUUGCGCAAUGAGCGAAAGCCUGACGCAGCCAUGCCGCGUGGAUGAUGAAGGUCUUAGGAUUGUAAAAUCCUUUCACCGGUGAAGAUAAUGACUGUAGCCGGAGAAGAAGCCUCGGCUAACUUCGUGCCAGCCGCCGCGGUAAGAC